UGGGGAAUAUUGCGCAAUGGGCGAAAGCCUGACGCAGCCACGCCGCGUGAGCGAUGAAGGCCUUCGGGUCGUAAAGCUCUGUGGGGGAGAGACGAAGAAAGCCCGUGAAGAGCGGGCCUUGACGGUAUCUCCUUAGCAAGCACCGGCUAACUCCGUGCCAGCAGCCGCGGUAAUACGGAGGGUGCAAACGUUGCUCGGAAUCAUUGGGCGUAAAGCGCACGUAGGCGGCGAAGCAAGUUGGGUGUGAAAGCCCUGGGCUCAACCCAGGAAGUUGCAUUCAAAACUGCUUCGCUUGAAUCUCGGAGGGGGUCAGAGAAUUCCCGGUGUAGAGGUGAAAUUCGUAGAUAUCGGGAGGAAUACCAGUGGCGAAGGCGCUGACCUGGACGAAGAUUGACGCUGAGGUGCGAAAGGCGCGGGGAGCAAACAGGAUCAGAUACCCUGGUAGUCCGCGCUGUAAACGAUGAGUGCUAGAC
rnacentral:rRNA from 1 species